UACGUAGGGGUCCGAGCGUUGUCCGGAAUUACUGGGCGUAAAGAGCUCGUAGGUGGUUUGUCGCGUUGUUCGUGAAAACUCACAGCUUAACUGUGGGCGUGCGGGCGAUACGGGCAGACUUGAGUACUGCAGGGGAGACUGGAAUUCCUGGUGUAGCGGUGGAAUGCGCAGAUAUCAGGAGGAACACCGGUGGCGAAGGCGGGUCUCUGGGCAGUAACUGACGCUGAGGAGCGAAAGCGUGGGGAGCGAACAGG
rnacentral:rRNA from 1 species